CCGGCGAUCAAGCUUGCCUGCCUCUGACCUCCGCCGCCUGAGGCCUGACCUCCCAACGCCGCCGAUCGCAUACUACAGCCACCGGUCGGCAACAUCUUGACUAGCCAAGUUAAACCGUCGGCCGCCUCUUUCUGCCAGCCACGGGGUUUACAAGCACUGCUCCCCUUCCCUGGCAACGUCCUGCCUCCAGGCUCUGCACAAUGAAUCACGCCGCCCCCGUGUUGGUCCUCGACCCGCCGCCGAUGUACGUUGCUGCCCCGCUCUUCAAAUCCACGGGCCAAGUGGCUCCAAUCUGUCACCGCCCUCCACCAGCGCCCUAAAGCUAAGUCCUGCAACGACAUCAUCCUCCACGGCUCUAGACUCGGCGCCACUCUCGAAUUAGUAGAUCAUUCACGCUGAGCAGGUCUUCAACAACCUAAUGUGAUGCGUGUUACAAGUGUGUUAAGGGAUUGAUGAAGCAUGAAAAAGAGAGAGAUUUUAACAAUGAAGCAUUGCCAGCUGCAUGCUUGGCCAGUAGCUCGGCAUUAACAGAAAACACAUGCCAAGUAUGAAGAAACUGAUCUGUUGCCAAAGAACCAAGAAACUGAUUCCCAUGCCUGGUGGAUUUUCUCUCCAUAUCGAUAAGACUCGGACGAGCUCACGAUAGGAGAAAGCAAUAGGAAUCACAUUGUUGCAGGGCACCGACACAACCAAGGAGUCGUGGGUCCUUCGCGAGACACGGCGGAUCUGGCUGCUGUGACAUGGAAGUUGUAGAUCUAGGAAAGGCACAUAGCCACCUUUGCUAGGAGCAGUAGGGUUGGUGGAUGAAAGAUCAGGGCAAUGGCCAAGGAGCAUAGAGGUGGAGGGGCUAAGCCAGAGCAGAUGGAGCAAAGUGUCGUGUCAGAUCCAGGCGAAGGUUAGGGAUGGGGAGGUUGAUGGAAAAGAGGAGAGUAGAGCCGCGAUCGCCUGAUUCUCGCAGCCGACCAUCAUCGCCGUCGACGACGACCAUUGAUGGCGGCGAUAGAGCAGUAGCAGACAAGUGUUCUUGGCCACCAGGGCUUGGGGCGUCUCGAUGUCGCCCCUUGGAGAGACAAGGGAGUGGGAAUCUACCUCUUUUUAUGGAGGCACAACUGCC